ensembl:lncRNA
GUAGCUAUGAAAAAGCGAGAGCCGUAUUCUCAAGUAGCACUGUGGUUGUCCUCAUUUUUGUCCAACACACAGAGACAAUUGUCCUCUUCGGGGUAUAGAGUCUUUAACUGCAGUGUGUUGACAUCACAAGAUAAAUCAGUAUUCAGUUAUCAUCACCAUAAUUACCUAUCUCUACAGUCUACUGCAUUUAGUUUUUUAACAAUCGUUCUGGGGUAUCUAAUGUAUUUCUGUAUUUUAUUUUCUGUCGGUGUAAAUUGAAUUUUAUAUACAAGAGGGCGCUCUAUAUUGACUUUAGUUAAAUGUCAUAAUAAUGAUAUGAUAGACACAAUGGAUUAAAAGAAGUCAAAAAUACUAUGUAACACAGCGGGCUGGGCCCUCUUGCAUUCGCAUUGUUAUGAGAACUAAUGUUGUGUCCCAAAAGGCACCCUGUUCUCUACCCCGUAAGCAACUUUUUGUUCCCUAUGGGCCCUGGUCAAAAGUAGUGCACUAUAUAGGGAAUGGGGUGCCAUUUAGGACAGAGCCUAAGAUGGAUGUGCUUUGUACAGAGUUUAAAAUAAAAUAAAAAAUGUUUUUAGAGGGGCGCAUUUUACCCAACUCACUACUAACUAGACCAUUACCAUUAGGCUUGGUCCUGGCCUUGCUUCAGAAGCACAGCUAAACAGUAACUAUCGUUUCCAUUUUAUAUAUAUUUUACAUACAUCCCCAAUGGAUUGUUCUCAGACAUAAAAGGAUAGUUCAGCAAUUUUUUUAUCUAUUUAUUUUUAACAUUUUGAGAUAUAUACAAUGGCUCAACUUUCCAUUUGAAUGAAGAAGGCGAUGAAGUGUAGAAGUGGCGCUCUUUAACAAUGGCAACAAGUUAUUUUGGAUGGGUGAUAUAAUGCCAGAUCAAUUGUUUCCAAUUAUGCUUUGUAGUUUAAUUUUUAUUUACAAACACCCUUAUCUACAAGCGUGGGACCUGGACAUUACACCCUGUCCUAGCUAGGUCCCAUCUUGUUAAUGAUUUCACAAAAUGGUUCUUAAUAUUAUGUGUGCCUGGGAUAAACAUGCCAUGUUUUCAGUUUAGAGUUAUUAGGCUACACCUGACAAAUCAUAACAUUUCUUCUUUAAACUAUCUUUUUAUGGCUUUUUAUUCUUCAGAAACCUGUAUGGCAGUGAGUGUCUAUGUAUGAUCAUUGCAUACCAUGUUGCCAACAACGAUACAGUGUGAUUGAGACUUUUUUUUGUUGCAUGAAACGAGACACUGUUCUCCUACCUCAUGUUGUGAUAUAAAAUGUUUUUUAAGCAGAGGACACUGCGUCUUUAAUCGUGGAUCAUAAUUGAUAUAUACUAGUAAAUGAUGACGACAUACCUGUACUUGCUUUUAGCGAAUACCUCAGUUGUAUAUCUCGUGUUGUGUUUUUCCUCCCGCCCUUAUUUCACAUCUUGUAAAUAUACACUGUAUAAACAAUGAACUUGGAUCACGUUCAAGUAAAGUUCUGUAGUGUCACAA